GGAACCGUGCCUGAACGCCCAAGGACCACCUUAUAGAGUGGCUUAUGAGGGUUAAAGCCCCUCCAGUUCCU
rnacentral:tRNA from 1 species